GAUGAAGAACGCAGCGAAAUGCGAUAAGUAAUGUGAAUUGCAGAAUUCAGUGAAUCAUCGAAUCUUUGAACGCACAUUGCGCCCUCUGGUAUUCCGGGGGGCAUGCCUGUUCGAGCGUCAUUAUAACCACUCAAGCUCUCGCUUGGUAUUGGGGUUCGCGGUUUCGCGGCCCCUAAAAUCAGUGGCGGUGCCUGUCGGCUCUACGCGUAGUAAUACUUCUCGCGAUUGAGUUCGAUAGGUCCACUUGCCAGUAACCCCCAAUUUUUACAGGUUGACCUCGGAUCAGGUAGGGAUACCCGCUGAACUUAAGCAUAUCAAUAAGCGGAGGA
rnacentral:misc_RNA from 1 species